UUAUCCUUUCAUUUUUUGCGUUUUCACUUUAUUAGUGAUAAUACAGGGUCUCUCAAUAGAUCAUGCUACUUUUGAGAAAUAUUACAAAUGCUACAACUAUGCCACUUGCGAGACAGAUGGACCAGAUCAUCAGAGACAACACAACUGCAUCUUCCAGAACGCAACAUUACAGGACUUGCAAGAUAUCUUUGAAUACGUUGAGGAUAAUGGAUACUUUGAGUACAAGAGUGAAACAGAACCAAAGGCAGUGAAAGAAUACUGUACUUACGAAGGUCACAAAAAAAAAAAAGCCUUCUGUCAAACGUUGAAAGGAAUUUUGGCCUUCAAAAACUCAAUUUGCGGUAUGUCGAAUAAACAAGAGCAAUGCACAAGAGUUUCAAACGCAUUGGGCUGCCUUUUCCCUAUUCUGGAUGAUUAUCAUUCCCAAGGUAAAUGCUGAGCAAGGCCAUAGAGACCUAAUUAUAUAAAUAAAAUAUUCUGAAGAAAUGAAGUCAUAGUUAAAUUUAAAACAGAUGCAGAGAAUAAAAUUGGAAUUAUCUUUUGAUUUUUUUUCCAUGAAGUUCAAGUAAAACGUAAG